rnacentral:rRNA from 1 species
CCUACGGGCUGCUGCAGUGGGGAAUAUUGGACAAUGGGCGAAAGCCUGAUCCAGCCAUGCCGCGUGUGUGAAGAAGGCCUUCGGGUUGUAAAGCACUUUCAGUGGGGAAGAAAGCCUUGGGGCUAAUACCCUCGAGGAAGGACAUCACCCACAGAAGAAGCACCGGCUAACUCCGUGCCAGCAGCCGCGGUAAUACGGAGGGUGCGAGCGUUAAUCGGAAUUACUGGGCGUAAAGCGCGCGUAGGCGGUCUGAUAAGCCGGUUGUGAAAGCCCCGGGCUCAACCUGGGAACGGCAUCCGGAACUGUCAGGCUAGAGUGCAGGAGAGGAAGGUAGAAUUCCCGGUGUAGCGGUGAAAUGCGUAGAGAUCGGGAGGAAUACCAGUGGCGAAGGCGGCCUUCUGGACUGACACUGACGCUGAGGUGCGAAAGCGUGGGUAGCAAACAGGAUUAGAUACCCUAGUAGUC